UCUCUAUUUGGCAUUUUUUUCUGUUUAUGGUUAUUUCUCUCCAGAACGAUGUCUUUUACAUUCAACGAAAAUAUUAUUUUGGAACAUAAAAAAUAAAAUAAAGAGGAUCCAUCAAGUAUUAUCAUUAUUGCCUAGCACACACACACAAUGAAUGGCAAUCAAUCGAUUAUUAUGAUGAUCCUUUUGAUGGCUGCUGAUUAGAUUCAUUCAAAAAAAAUGCGGGACUAAUAGGUCAAAAAAAACAACAUUCAUUUUGAGUUAUUUAUGGAACAUGACACGUGCAAUCAUAUAAUGAACACACGCACACAUUUCAAUUAAAUUAUUCGUUGAAACUUAAACGUUUGUUGUGUUAUUAUACAUCUUGUUCCUGAAAAACUUGUUGUUGUUGUAUUUCGGACAUUAAGUAAUAACAGGAUUUAAUUAAAAGAAACAUUGCCACAAAAUGAAAAAUGAAAAUCAAUUAAUCAAGACUAAAAAUAUAUCCGAGUCAAUGUAUCAAUUUGUGUUCUUAUUCCUGGAUCUAACGAUAACGAUAACGAUGAUGAUGAUGAUGAUGGACAAUCGUACACGUAGAUGACGUCUAUGAUCGAAAACGGUGACGAAUAUUUGACGACGAUUCAAACAAAGAGAUUCCAACAACAACAAAAAAUUGUUAUUUAUGACCAAUUUAGCAGAAAUAAAAGAG